UCCCUGCUGACUCAGUGGUAAAGAAUCUGCCUGCAAUGCAGGAGGCCCAGGUUGGAUCCCUGGAUGAGGAA
rnacentral:tRNA from 1 species